rnacentral:rRNA from 1 species
UACAGAGGUCUCAAGCGUUGUUCGGAUUCAUUGGGCGUAAAGGGUGCGUAGGCGGCGCGGUAAGUCGGGUGUGAAAUCUCGGGGCUUAACUCCGAAACUGCAUUCGAUACUGCCGUGCUUGAGGACUGGAGAGGAGACUGGAAUUUACGGUGUAGCGGUGAAAUGCGUAGAUAUCGUAAGGAAGACCAGUGGCGAAGGCGGGUCUCUGGGCCGUAACUGACGCUGAGGAGCGAAAGCCAGGGGAGCAAACGGG